rnacentral:rRNA from 1 species
AACGAACGCUGGCGGCAUGCCUAACACAUGCAAGUCGAACGAGACCUUCGGGUCUAGUGGCGCACGGGUGCGUAACGCGUGGGAACCUGCCUUUAGGUUCGGAAUAACUCAGAGAAAUUUGAGCUAAUACCGGAUGAUGUCUUCGGACCAAAGAUUUAUCGCCUUUAGAUGGGCCCGCGUUGGAUUAGCUAGUUGGUGGGGUAAAGGCCUACCAAGGCGACGAUCCAUAGCUGGUCUGAGAGGAUGAUCAGCCACACUGGGACUGAGACACGGCCCAGACUCCUACGGGAGGCAGCAGUGGGGAAUAUUGGACAAUGGGCGAAAGCCUGAUCCAGCAAUGCCGCGUCAGUGAUGAAGGCCUUAGGGUUGUAAAGCUCUUUUACCCGAGAUGAUAAUGACAGUAUCGGGAGAAUAAGCUCCGGCUAACUCCGUG